rnacentral:rRNA from 1 species
AUUGAACGCUGGCGGCAGGCUUAACACAUGCAAGUCGAACGAGUGGCGGACGGGUGAGUAAUGCUUGGGAAUCUAGCCUAUGGAGGGGGAUAACUACUGGAAACUGUAGCUAAUACCGCUUACCAUAGGAUGAGCCCAUAUGGGAUUAGCUAGUUGGUGGGGUAAAGGCUCACCUAGCCGACGAUCUCUAGCUGGUCUGAGAGGAUGACCAGCCACACUGGGACUGAGACACGGCCCAGACUCCUACGGGAGGCAGCAGUGGGGAAUAUUGCGCAAUGGGGGCAACCUGAUGCAGCCAUGCCGCGUGAAUGAAGAAGGCCUUAGGGUUGUAAAGUACUUUCAGUAGCGAGGCGUUAACCACAGAAGAAGCACCGGCUAACUCCGUGCCAGCAGCCGCGGUAAUAC